rnacentral:rRNA from 1 species
UACGGGAGGCAGCAGUGGGGAAUAUUGGACAAUGGGCGCAAGCCUGAUCCAGCAAUGCCGCGUGAGUGAUGAAGGCCUUAGGGUUGUAAAGCUCUUUUACCCGGGAUGAUAAUGACAGUACCGGGAGAAUAAGCUCCGGCUAACUCCGUGCCAGCAGCCGCGGUAAUACGGAGGGAGCUAGCGUUGUUCGGAAUUACUGGGCGUAAAGCGCACGUAGGCGGCUUUGUAAGUCAGAGGUGAAAGCCCUGGAGCUCAACUCCAGAACUGCCUUUUGAGACUGCAUCGCUUGAAUCCAGGAGAGGUGAGUGGAAUUCCGAGUGUAGAGGUGAAAUUCGUAGAUAUUCGGAAGAACACCAGUGGCGAAGGCGGCUCACUGGACUGGUAUUGACGCUGAGGUGCGAAAGCGUGGGGAGCGAAACAGGGAUUAGGAUA